AGAGGAGUGGCUGAGUGGAUUAAAGCACUGGUCUUGAAAACCAGAAAUAUAAAUUUUAUAUUCUAGAGUUCGAAUCUCUACUCCUCUA
rnacentral:tRNA from 1 species